GACAGAGGUGCCGAGCGUUAGGCGGAAUCACUGGGCUUAAAGCGUGUGUAGGCGGCCCGUUAAGUGUCUUGUGAAAUCCCCCGACUCAACCGGGGAACUGCUGGGCAUACUGGCGGGCUUGGGUCGCUCAGGGGCAGACGGAACAGGCGGUGGAGCGGUGAAAUGCGUAGAUAUCGCCUGGAACGCCGAAGGUGAAAACAGUCUGCUGGGGGCGCACCGACGCUGAGACACGAAAGCCAGGGGAGCGAACGGG
rnacentral:rRNA from 1 species